rnacentral:rRNA from 1 species
AGCGAACGCUGGCGGCAGGCCUAACACAUGCAAGUCGAACGGCAGCACAGAAGAGCUUGCUCUUUGGGUGGCGAGUGGCGGACGGGUGAGUAAUGUCUGGGAAACUGCCCGAUGGAGGGGGAUAACUACUGGAAACGGUAGCUAAUACCGCAUAACGUCGCAAGACCAAAGUGGGGGACCUUCGGGCCUCACACCAUCGGAUGUGCCCAGAUGGGAUUAGCUAGUAGGUGGGGUAAUGGCUCACCUAGGCGACGAUCCCUAGCUGGUGUGAGAGGAUGACCGGGCACACUGGAACUGAGACACGGUACAGACACCUACGGGAGGCAGCAGUGGGGAAUAUUGCACAAUGGGCGCAAGCCUGAUGCAGCCAUGCCGGGUGUAUGAAGAAGGCCUUCGGGUUGGAAAGUAAUUUCAGCGGGGAGGAAGGCGGUGAGGUUAAUAACCGCGCCGAUUGACGUUACCCGCAGAAGAAGCACCGGCUAACUCCGUGCCAGCCGCCGCAGUAAUAC